UACGGAGGGGACUAGCGGUGUUCGGAAUUACUGGGCGUAAAGCGCGCGUAGGCGGACUAUUAAGUCAGGGGUGAAAUCCCGGGGCUCAACCCCGGAACUGCCCUUGAUACUGGUAGUCUGGAGUUCUGGAGAGGUGAGUGGAAUUCCGAGUGUAGAGGUGAAAUUCGUAGAUAUUCGGAGGAACACCAGUGGCGAAGGCGGCUCACUGGCCAGAUACUGACGCUGAGGUGCGAAAGUGUGGGGAGCAAACAGG
rnacentral:rRNA from 1 species